rnacentral:sRNA from 1 species
UGAACACCGUUCGGCCAUUGUCCACCGCCGUCAGCCCUGAAUGAC